rnacentral:rRNA from 1 species
UACGUAGGGGGCUAGCGUUGUCCGGAAUCAUUGGGCGUAAAGCGCGUGUAGGCGGUCCGGUAAGUCCGCUGUGAAAGUCGGGGGCUCAACCCUCGGAUGCCGGUGGAUACUGUCGGGCUUGAGUACGGAAGAGGCGAGUGGAAUUCCUGGUGUAGCGGUGAAAUGCGCAGAUAUCAGGAGGAACACCAAUUAGCGAAGGCAGCUCGCUGGGACGUU